rnacentral:rRNA from 1 species
AGUGAACGCUGGCGGUAGGCCUAACACAUGCAAGUCGAGCGGCAGCACAGUGCGGGCUUCUGCUUACGGGGGGCGAGGGGCGGGUGGGUGAAAAGUAUAUGCAAGUUUGCUUUUUCGGGGGGCAUAACGUGGGAACGAAUACCUCAUACGUCCUUAGGGCGAAAGGGGGAAAGCAGCGGAUCUCAGGCCAUUUCGCGAUUGUAUGUGCAGAUGUCGGAUUAGCUAGUUGGCGGGGUAACGGCCCACCAAGGCGACGAUCCGUAGCUGGUCUGAGAGGAUGAUCAGCCACACUGGAACUGAGACACGGUCCAGACUACUACGGGAGGCAGCAGUGGGGAAUAUUGGACAAUGGGCGCAAGCCUGAUCCAGCCAUGCCGCGUGGGUGAAGAAGGUCUUCGGUUUGUAAAGCCCUUUUAGUGGGAAAGAAGAGCAGCAAGUUAAUACCCUGCUGUUCUGACGGUACCCAAAGAAUAAGCACCGGCUAACUUCGUG